rnacentral:rRNA from 1 species
GACGAACGCUGGCGGCGUGCUUAACACAUGCAAGUCGAACGGAAAGGCCCUGCUUGCAGGGUGCUCGAGUGGCGAACGGGUGAGUAACACGUGGGUGAUCUGCCCCUUACUUUGGGAUAAGCCUGGGAAACUGGGUCUAAUACUGGAUAGGACCAUGCUGUAGGGGGUGUGGUGGAAAGAUUAGUUUCGGUAAGGGGUGAGCUCGCGGCCUAUCAGCUUGUUGGUGGGGUAAUGUCCUACCAAGGCGUCGACGGGUAGCCGGCCUGAGAGGGUGGACGGCCACAUUGGGACUGAGAUACGGCCCAGACUCCUACGGGAGGCAGCAGUGGGGAAGAUUGCACAAUGGGCGCAAGCCUGAUGCAGCGACGCCGCGUGGGGGAUGACGGCCUUCGGGUUGUAAACUCCUUGCAGCCAUGACGAAGCCCUUGUGGUGACGGUAGUGGUAGAAGAAGCACCGGCUAACUACGUG